AUCUACAGUCAUACCACCCUGAACACACUGAAUCUCAACUGAUCUGGAAACUUAGCAGGGUCAGGUCUAGUUAUUACCUGAAUAGGAGACUGCCUGGGAUUACUGGAUGAUAUAGGCU
rnacentral:rRNA from 1 species